GAAAUUACUAUUUUUAUUAUGCAAUCUUUAAAAACGAGAUUAAAAACAUGGAAUACAAACAAACAAAAUAAAUAAAUAGUAUACAAAAUAUCUAUAUAAUUAAACAUGCUCCCUUCACCUGUAAGAUACAGCAAAUCAAAAAUCGUUUCAUGAUCUAAGCAACCAAGUUAAAACAAUUCAUUCACACCAAGGCUAAUAUAUUAUUCUUUGCAUUUCUCUUUAACUUCACACGAGCCAACAAAUUUCAAACACAAACCAAUCCUGACAAUAAAUAUCAAAUUUACAAUUUAAAGAAAAUACUCAAUAUGAAAUUAUUUUUUUUUUUAUGUCAAUUACUGUUACUGUU
rnacentral:lncRNA from 1 species